UUCCCAGACUCCUACGGGAGGCAGCAGUGGGGAACAUUGGGCAAUGGGCGCAAGCCUGACCCAGCAACGCCGCGUGAAGGAAGAAGGCUUUCGGGUUGUAAACUUCUUUUAAGAGGGAAGAGCAGAAGACGGUACCUCUUGAAUAAGCCACGGCUAACUACGUGCCAGCAGCCGCGGUAAUACGUAGGUGGCAAGCGUUGUCCGGAUUUACUGGGUGUAAAGGGCGUGCAGCCGGAGAGACAAGUCAGAUGUGAAAUCCACGGGCUCAACCCGUGAACUGCAUUUGAAACUGUUUCCCUUGAGUGUCGGAGAGGUAAUCGGAAUUCCUUGUGUAGCGGUGAAAUGCGUAGAUAUAAGGAAGAACACCAGUUGCGAAGGCGGCUCUCUGGACUGUAACUGACACUGAGGCACGAAAGCGUGGGGAGCAAACAGGAUUAGAUACCCCUGUA
rnacentral:rRNA from 1 species